AAAAUCUCCUUCACUUGAGCUAAGCAUCGACCUUCAAGUUGAAGACGAUAAAUGUACCCUUAACUCUAAGCAUCGAUUUUUAAGUUGGCGACGACUGGUCUUGAUCUAUGCACUGAUCUCCAGCGACAAUCUCUUUAUCUUUGAUCUAAGAACCAACCAUCGGGAAGGAGACAACCUCUUUAUGUUUGAUCUAAGCACCAAUCUCCAACAAAUAUGUCUUUAUGUUUAAUCUAAGAACCAACCCUCAGGAAGGCGAUGAUCUCUUUAU
rnacentral:lncRNA from 1 species